rnacentral:lncRNA from 1 species
UUACUGACCAAGACUGGAUGAAAAUGAAUACAAGCUUCUCGCAUUGCCCAGCCCCGAAAUUGCCUGGCACUGAACAGGUCACACCCGUGGCUUGUUAAUGCGUGGCGAACUUGAAGAUAUUCAAGACAGCCGCUAAAGAGUAAUACCGACAAAUAAAAUAUACUUGCGCCG